GAUGAACGCUGGCGGCGUGCCUAAUACAUGCAAGUCGAGCGAACAGACGAGGAGCUUGCUCCUCUGACGUUAGCGGCGGACGGGUGAGUAACACGUGGAUAACCUACCUAUAAGACUGGGAUAACUUCGGGAAACCGGAGCUAAUACCGGAUAAUAUAUUGAACCGCAUGGUUCAAUAGUGAAAGACGGUUUUGCUGUCACUUAUAGAUGGAUCCGCUCCGCAUUAGCUAGUUGGUAAGGUAACGGCUUACCAAGGCAACGAUGCGUAGCCGACCUGAGAGGGUGAUCGGCCACACUGGAACUGAGACACGGUCCAGACUCCUACGGGAGGCAGCAGUAGGGAAUCUUCAGCAAUGGGCGAAAGCCUGACGGAGCAACGCCGCGUGAGUGAUGAAGGUCUUCGGAUCGUAAAACUCUGUUAUUAGGGAAGAACAAAUGUGUAAGUAACUAUGCACGUCUUGACGGUACCUAAUCAGAAAGCCACGGCUAACUACGUG
rnacentral:rRNA from 1 species